CAUAAAAACACAUACAUGUUCAUAGAGUGCCUAAAAUACCCCAAAUGGACCAUUUCUCAAAGAAUCAAUACCAUCUUAGUUUUGUCUGUAUUGUACUGAGAAUUGCAAGCCUGGUGAUAGAAAAGUCAUGUAGAAAAUGGCCACAUUAACUAAUAAGUGAGGGAAUGAAACUCUUCAUAGACACAGAAGCCAUCUACAGCCCCCACUCACCAUUCCUGAACAGUUAUUGGAAAGGACUCAACUGGACAGAGCUGUGCAUGCUUGCCAGUGAGUUAUGGUUCAUUAGAUUUGUCCAUUGGGACAAAGGGUUCAGAACCUUAUGAGCACACUACACACAAAUCUCUAUACUGUUUUACAUUUACAUGGAAUCUUUAUCUGAAGAUCUCAAAGCCAAGAAUAGCUCUUGGGAUAUCCAACCAUAUCGACAUAAUCGACUGCUUUGUGAUUUCUUUUUGACUCCCAGAGGUUAAUAGGCAUCCAGGAGGUAGAAGCAGAGUAGGACUGGAUGAAGGGGAUCUUCCCAUUCUCACUACUAUGCAAAUCAUUUAAAAGUAAUAGAAAUCAUCUAACUGAAAUAGUUAAGGCUCCCAGACUAAAUCAUUUCUAUUACCAAUGAUGAUGAGGCUUCCUAUGGUUUCAUAAUUGUAUCUGUGCAGUUACCUGGCAACAUCAGGGCAUUGCUGCUUCUGUCUUUUACUGGUGAAACCCACUGACACUGAAUUUCGAUCAGGGAAUGAAGGGGGCAUAAGAAGGUAGAUGCAGAAAAUUACUUUCUCUGAAACCUGUUUCCCUGACACUCUGCUCUUCGUAAGCUUUAAAGCACAAUAUGAAUAUGUGGACCUGAGGCACAGAACGAACACUUCUUUAACUUCAGCUGAAUGCUGUGAGGAUCAUUUAUCUGAAAGAAAUAUGAAAAUAUUUUCUGACUGUCUCAGAAACUGGUACAGAUAUUCAGUCAGCAACCUCUGUUUAACAGCAGCAAAAAAUCAUGAAGCUUUCAUUUUCAUUUUGCAGAGAAACUACAAGCCAGCUUAUAUUGCUUGCUCUAAGUUUACCUUUCUGAUGAUUUUACAACAGACUUUCCAUUUCCUCUCAAUUCCUGAUCGAAGACAUUUCACUUCUCAUUGCCAGUACUCUUAAUGAAAUGACUGCCAUAAAUAUUAAACUCCUUCAGAGUCCAAAAGGGUAACACCAACCUCUGCUUUUUAAAGCAGAUUCUGCUGGAUAGAAACUUUGAGCAUGGUACAUGAAACCCUACAUUAAGAAGGAAAAAUCUAUAGCUGAAGGCACUGAGAAAAGACUGCUUAAAAGAAGUGGUACGUGGUAGAGAAAGAAAGAAAUCUGCGAAUACUGCACUGAAGGUUCUGGAUGCUCGAAAGUCUCAGACAAGUCUAGAUUUUUCGAGGAGAAGGCUGUUUGCAGCAGGGGCCAAAGCACAAAAUGUGAAUCAUCACGUAUCUCUUUCAGUAGAAAUUAUGAGUUUUUACUUUGGUGACUUUUUUUUAUAUUGGUGAAUAUAAAUUUUGUGAAAGUAAUUGGUGAAUUACAUUUUUUACACUGGUGAGAAAAGAAGCUGGAAGAAACCUUUAAAAGGAAAAAAAAAUUAAAAGAAGAGAAUCAAUAAUCAUUUGGUUCCAAAGUGACUGGUAUGAGUUACAAGUGCAGCCAAAAAUAAAUGAGUUACGCUGUAAUUUCA